UUAGUAUCUAAGCCAUGGCUCUCAACAUCAUGAACAAAUAAUCCCGAACAGGAGAAAGAGUUAAAAAAAGUCUUCUACAAUUAUUAAAAAAAAAAAUCCAAAGCUCUUACAACAUGGAGAGAGUAAAAGCAGCACACUAUUCACAGUUAUGUCAGUCAAAGGAAGAUGUGCUGCACCAACGAGCCAUGGGAACUGCUCUGGAAGGAAACCAGUCUUGACAUGGACACAGGUGACAAUGGAGGAAUCCUUAAUAGAUGUCUUUUCCCAAGACACUUCUUUACGGUGAGAGGAACCUCCUGUCCACGGCCAGACUUCAACUAAAUAUUAAUUGGGAACUUAAUGAAAAAUACAACAGUGAGUCUGUGAACCCUCUAAUUUAAAAUCCUGCUGUAUGUGUGCAGAAGGUGGAAGGUAAAGGCAAGUAUAAAGGAGGACAAUGAAUGUUGAAUGUGAGAUUAUUUUUUGCAAAAUAUGUUUCUGAGUGUGUAUGGGAACCCAUUGAAAUA